AUGAAUUGUAUAAGUUGGAACUGUCGGGGGGCGGCCAACAAACCGACAGAUCGUGACUUAGUUGGCAUGGUGAAAUCUACGAAAGCAAAAAUUGUUUUUCUGUGUGAGACUAUGCAAAGUUCAGACAAAGUCAAGCGUUUGUGUGGGAGAUUAGGUUUAAGGGGCUUCUCUGGAGUUAGUAGUGUUGGUUUGAGUGGAGGCCUUGCCCUCUUU
rnacentral:rRNA from 1 species